rnacentral:rRNA from 1 species
UACGAAGGGGGCUAGCGUUGCUCGGAAUCACUGGGCGUAAAGGGUGCGUAGGCGGGUCUUUAAGUCAGUGGUGAAAUCCCGAGGCUCAACCUCGGAACUGCCUUUGAUACUAUUAGUCUUGAAUGUUGUUGAGGUGGGCGGAACGGGUCAUGUAGCGGUGAAAUGCAUAGAUAUGACCCGGAACACCGAUUGCGAAGGCAGCCCGCUAAGCAACUAUUGACGCUGAGGCACGAAAGCGUGGGGAUCAAACAGG